UUAUUUCUCCUCACUCAUGCUAUGUACUCUAGAUGCUAGAGCAUCACUCUCUCCUCUUCAUAACUUCUCAAUCAAGUGCCAAAAUGUAUUUUUCCCAUAGAUCAAUUAUUCUCUUCAAGACUUCAUUUUAAUUACCCAAGUGGUUAAGAAUUGGGAGAAACCUUAAAACCAAAAUAAAACCCCAAACAAUAACUUUCUCUCUCCUCUGAUUUUAUACCCCGUAAUUUGCAUGUUCAAUUUCUGUAUCCUGGAGUCAAAAUUUGCCAAAACUUAUUACAUGAAAAUUGUAGAUCUCGAAAAGUUAUUGAACUUAGACUCAAAAAUCACUUGAUUUGGAGUUCGGAGCUAUGAGUUAUGGUCCUUGCAAGUUUGGUGUUGCUACCUUCAUUUCUCUCUCCUCUGUUUUUAUUCCGACAAUCUGUUGCCCCAAUUAUCUACAACAUGCAAUCCAAUUUUGCUCUUUAUUGCUGAAUCAAAGUUGUAUAUAACUUCGAGUUAAUGAAUUUGGGCACAAAAAUCACUUGAUUUGGAGUUCGGAGCUAUGACUUAUGGUCUUUUUGUAGAUCACUUCGAGCUAAUGAAUUUGGGCACAAAAAUCGCUCAAUUCGGAGUUCGGAGCUAUGAGUUACGCCUUAUACAAGUUCAGCACUGCUGCUGUACUUUGUGUUGCGUUGCUGCCGUGGUUGGCAUUGUUUUCCCAUGUUGUCAUUGCUAACUUGCUUGCCUUGUUGCUGCCAUUGGUUGGUAUUCCUUUCCAUAUGAAGGUCGUUGUUGGAGUAUCUAUAUGGAGAUAAAUUAUGAAGUUCGAGCUAUAGUGGUUAUCCAAAAUGUCGAGUUAUUGGGAUUGUUUCAAGGUACACACAUGUCCUUCCACCUUUGAAUCUAUAUUCGUGUUUUAUGUGAUUUCAUGUGCUGAGCUUAAUAAGCCUUUUAUAUAAAUUCAAAAUUAUUCAAAGUGUUAUUUGUGAGUUUACAAGAAUUGUUAACUACAUAUUUGGUUUUAAGCUAUGAGCGAAAGCUAUAUAUGUGAUGAGUUUUACUGAGUGAUAUUUCUAUGAAGAACUGAUUGGAGGUAGUUGAAUCCUUCAAUAAUAUAGAUGUGUGAUAUUAUUAAACUCACUUGUUCCCACAUCGAAUUUAUAAUAAGCUUCUUAUGCUUAGUAAGUUGAUCUUUUAUAUGAAAAUGCAGCUAUGAGAAUUAA